GACGAAGGUGGCAAGCGUUAUUCGGAUUUACUGGGCAUAAAGCGCGCGUAGGCGGCUUGGCAAGUCGGGGGUGAAAGCCCGCAGCUCAACUGCGGAACUGCCUUCGAUACUGCCGGGCUUGAAGGCGGGAGGGGUGAUUGGAACUCCAGGUGUAGCGGUGAAAUGCGUAGAUAUCUGGAGGAACACCGGUGGCGAAGGCGGCCUUCUGGACGGAUACUGACGCUGAGACGCGAAAGCGUGGGGAGCAAACAGG
rnacentral:rRNA from 1 species